rnacentral:rRNA from 1 species
AUUGAACGCUGGCGGCAGGCCUAACACAUGCAAGUCGAACGAGUGGCGGACGGGUGAGUAAUGUCUGGGAAACUGCCUGAUGGAGGGGGAUAACUACUGGAAACGGUAGCUAAUACCGCAUACCAUCGGAUGUGCCCAGAUGGGAUUAGCUAGUAGGUGGGGUAAAGGCUCACCUAGGCGACGAUCCCUAGCUGGUCUGGGAGGAUGACCAGACACACUGGAACUAAGACACGGUCCAGACACCUACGGGAGGCAGCAGUGGGGAAUAUUACACAAUGGGCGCAGACCUAAUGCAGCCAUGCCGCGUGUAUGAAGAAGGCCUUCGGGUUGUAAAGUACUUUCAGCGGGGAGGCGUAACCCGCAGAAGAAGCACCGGCUAACUCCGUGCCAGCAGCCGCGGUAAUUC